AUUGAACGCUGGCGGCAGGCCUAACACAUGCAAGUCGAGCGGAGCGGCGGACGGGUGAGUAAUGCCUAGGCAUCUGCCUGGUAGUGGGGGAUAACGUCCGGAAACGGGCGCUAAGACCGCAUACUAUUAGAUGAGCCUAGGUCGGAUUGGCUUGUGGGUGGGGUAAUGGCCUACCAAGGCGACGAUCCGUAACUGGUCUGAGAGGAUGAUCAGUCAAACGGGAACGGAGACACGGUCCAGACUCCUACGGGAGGCAGCAGUGGGGAAUAUUGGACAAUGGGCGAAAGCCUGAUCCAGCCAUGCCGCGUGUGUGAAGAAGGUCUUCGGUUUGUAAAGCACUUUAAGUUGGGAGGCGUUACCAGCAGAAUAAGCACCGGCUAACUUCGUGCCAGCAGCCGCGGUAAUAC
rnacentral:rRNA from 1 species